CUACGGAGGGUGCAAGCGUUAAUCGGAAUGACUGGGCGUAAAGCGCGCGUAGGCGGUUAGAUAAGUCGGAUGUGAAAUCCCUGGGCUCAACCUGGGAACUGCAUUCGAUACUGUCUAACUAGAGUAUGUUAGAGGGAAGUGGAAUUCCGGGUGUAGCGGUGAAAUGCGUAGAUAUCCGGAGGAACAUCAGUGGCGAAGGCGACUUCCUGGACCAAUACUGACGCUGAGGUGCGAAAGCGUGGGGAGCAAACAGUAUUAGAUACCCUAGUAGUCC
rnacentral:rRNA from 1 species